GAGGAACGCUGGCGGCGUGCCUAAUACAUGCAAGUUGAGCGCUGAAGGUUGGUACUUGUACCAACUGGAUGAGCAGCGAACGGGUGAGUAACGCGUGGGGAAUCUGCCUUUGAGCGGGGGACAACAUUUGGAAACGAAUGCUAAUACCGCAUAAAAACUUUAAACACAAGUUUUAAGUUUGAAAGAUGCAAUUGCAUCACUCAAAGAUGAUCCCGCGUUGUAUUAGCUAGUUGGUGAGGUAAAGGCUCACCAAGGCGAUGAUACAUAGCCGACCUGAGAGGGUGAUCGGCCACAUUGGGACUGAGACACGGCCCAAACUCCUACGGGAGGCAGCAGUAGGGAAUCUUCGGCAAUGGACGAAAGUCUGACCGAGCAACGCCGCGUGAGUGAAGAAGGUUGUCGGAUCGUAAAACUCUGUUGGUAGAGAAGAACGUUGGUGAGAGUGGAAAGCUCAUCAAGUGACGGUAACUACCCAGAAAGGGACGGCUAACUACGUG
rnacentral:rRNA from 1 species